ensembl:rRNA 5S_rRNA 5S ribosomal RNA
GCUUAUGGCCAUACCACCCUGAGCACGCCUGAUCUCGUUCGAUCUCGGAAGCUAAGCAGGGUCGGGCCUGGUUAGUACUUGGAUGGGAGACUGCCUAGGAAUACCAGGUGCUGUAAGCU